GGCAGGCAGGAGGUGUUUGUCUCGUGAGUGGUUUGAAGCUAUUCUUUUCAAUAUGGUUUGUUGAUGCCUGUUG
rnacentral:tRNA from 1 species